GGAUUGUGGCUCAGCGGUAGAGCCCUCGCCUACCACAUGUGAGUCCCUGAGUUCAAUCCUCAGCACCA
rnacentral:tRNA from 1 species